rnacentral:rRNA from 1 species
UACGUAGGGGGCGAGCGUUGUCCGGAUUUAUUGGGCGUAAAGAGCGUGUAGGCGGCCAGGUAGGUCCGUUGUGAAAACUCGAGGCUCAACCUCGAGACGUCGAUGGAAACCAUCUGGCUAGAGUCCGGAAGAGGAGAGUGGAAUUCCUGGUGUAGCGGUGAAAUGCGCAGAUAUCAGGAAGAACACCAGUGGCGAAGGCGGCUCACUGGUCCGGUACUGACGCUGAGGUGCGAAAGCGUGGGGAGCAAACAGG